CAAGGCAAACUAGAUCCAUUAUCUCAUCUUUUAAUAACACAUUCAUAUCUAUGCUCUGUUUGUUUACAAGGAAUUAAAAUAAGUGUUGAUGAGGAGUAAAGAAAUCAUUCAGGCAGAAGGUGAAAGUCCAUAUACUGUGAAGACCAAAAUAUCCUAUGAUAAAAGUGUAUAUUCAUGACUCUGUGACUGCAGCGAAUCAAAUCCUUUAAUUUCCUUUUCAAGGUCAAAUCUAAUUUUUGAUAAGUGUAGAUGAAUCCAACACAAAUCAAUAGUGAGACAGCAUCACCCUCCUUUCACCAGCAUCAACACAGUCAGCUUAGAAAACAGGUCCUUUUGCUUGUUUCAAAUGAAUCACGAGAAAUGAGAAUACAUCAUAGUUUGUGUAAAAGGUCCUUGCAGGGCGCUGAAACUUUUCACAGAGAAAGGAAAUGCUAAAUGCACCCAAACAUAAGAGUUACAAUCUGAUGUCAGAACAGGGAGAGAAAAAUAGGAGUCAACCAAAAUGAGACAAAACAUGAAGAAUUUCAAGAUACAAACAAGAAAGUUCAUUGAAAUAAAAAGGAAUAGAUGUGAACAGAGUAAAGAAAUCUAAUAUAUUUUGAGUUGGUGACGAUGAGAAUUAGGUUGUUUUUGUCCAUUUGAUAUCCCAUCAUAUAUUUCCUUCCAAAUCAACUAAAAACAGAGAAUGUAAAUAAAGUUAUCUUUGGAAGAAGUAUAGGUUUCUUUUCCUUUAAUAGACUAUCCACUACAGUAUAUGGAGACGCCACUACCAUGUUAUUCAUUCAUCUAUAUUUCUUUCGAAAAAUUUCUGUCUUUUCUUUUUAAGGGGUGUUAUUUUGAAUUUUUUUUUUUUCCAACAGAACAUAACCUAUUUUCUUUUUCCUAAGAGGUAGAUUAACAAAUUAAUUACAUGGUUUCUGGUGUCAUUCCGGAGAUGAAUCCCAGAGAGGGGACAUGUGGAGAGGGGCUGGAGGAAAACCGUGCCAAUUUUGGCUGUUCUCAUUUCUAAUCUACUGUGUGAUUUCAAUGGGCCUCCAGCAGUCAGUCUACGAAACACAAUCAACACUUAGCUGUGACUGCUUGAUGUUAGUCCAGUUAGAUUCUCCAGAAGUGCACAGCGCCCCCUGACCUCCGGCACGCACUACUACACAAAAUGUGUAUAUUCUGGAUUUUCUGUGCGCGUCUCCUUUAAAUUUAUUCUUUUCAGUUUUAACUCUACCUGGAGAAGUACAAUGUUAAAAACUGAAAAAUUGAAAUCAACGAGUGACGAAUGUAAUUGUGCUAUAAAAUAUCGUGUCCUUCUUUCUGCUUGCAUGUCUAGCUGUCUGAAUACUCACUCCUGUCCAUUUCAACCUUCAGAAAAUGGACAAUCUUCCAGCUGUGUUUGAUCUUUCUUAUUUUUUUUUUCUUUUGAGGUAGCAUUGCUGGUUAUGUGUUAAGAGGAUCACGUUUCGUUAUUUCCAGGUAACAGUGUCCCUCCGCCGUGUUUGUCAUUUUCCAGCUCUGGGCCGGGUGUCGGGACGUUUCGCCACAUUGGAGUUUUGUCAGUUCCUCCGAGUUCUGUUGGGGCAGACGUUCAUGCUGCUCUAUAAAGUGCAGCUUUAACGCACUACAACAAACAAGAAGCUUCCAAGUUUGACUUUCCAAGGUUCUACACUUAAAAGGGAAGAAUAAAAGGUAUUUUUUAUUCGUUUUUGUUUUUUGAUUUUUUUUUUUCUUUUGUCAUUUUGUUUUUGACAAUUUAUUGUGUACUUUAUAUUAAUGCUGAUCAUAUAACUAACAUAGGUAAUGUAGGUAAUGUUUAUAUCAGUGUGCUGUCAUUACACUGUUAUAGUUACAAGAUGAAUUUUUCACCAUAAUAAGUAGCAUUAUUACCCUUGGUGCAGAAUCACUCCCUGAAGAGUGUCCACUAUAUUUUAUGGAUCUAUGACAAUGCAUGACUGCAUCCAGCAACUAAUCCAACAAAAGCCUUUGUAUCAACAAAGGCUUUUCUAUUUUCUUCAUCAGUUGUUGGUGAGAAAGUUGCUGAUUAGCACCAACAGGUAGAGUGGAAUUUCUCUGGUAAGGGAUUCCUGGGAACUCAUUCCCAUUGCAGCCAAAGACUACUUAGAAUUUCCCAAAUAAACAUGGCUCCAAAGUAUAUGCUACAACAAUAAAAGUGAAAAUAUGACUUCUGUUGUUUUCUCCCAUUAGACUUGCAUAAAAACACCAGAUUGGAUAUUUUAGAGGAUAUAAAAAUGUAAGGCCAGCUUUAUGCUACAGAAAUGAUCAGCAGUAAUACAAAGUACUUCAGAAAGGAAAGGGGCAAAACAUGCACAAAGUAAAAUGAAGAUUCAAACAGUAUUGAAAAGACUUUAAUACAUAAUGUUAGCAUUUGAAAUUAAUAUUGAAGUAUUUUUAAAGGUGGCAUCACACUAAACUGUCAAUCUUAUACAACAAUAGAUCAGUCUGGAAUUAGCCCAGAAAUGAUCCAAAACUAGGAAUUAAAUGGCCGAGAGCAAAUUAGAAGAUAGUCCUUCUCACUACAUUCUGACCUACAGAGGAGCUGCAGGUAGCACAGCUGGCUUUCAGUUUGAUCCUAACAGCUGUUUUCUCUAAUGUACAGAAUAAAAAAAAAUAAAACAACGAAGAGGAGUUCUGUUCCAAGAUGAGAUUCUACUGUUUCAUAGACAUAACCUUUCCUUCAGGAACAGCUCAGAGAUUAUUUGCAGAUAUUCUCAGUUUGUAUUUUUGGACCAAGCCUCUACUGUGGGUUUGGCACAGUUAACAUCCUGUACCGAUCUACUUGUUAGUACUUCAUUAUUUUUAGUAGCCAUUUUGUUAAUAGAUGUAUGUAUUCACGUAGAAGUUAAACUAUUUUCAGAUUUUCCAACAAAAAAAGUUUAAGCAUUGUUUUUUUCUGUGUUUUUUUUAAAGUGGACUAAAUAGAAAAAUCAACAGGUCUUCAACAGAAGUUAGCAAAACAAACACAAUGGAGACCAGCGCAAGAUAGGGCAAGGGACCCUGACGUUCCUGUCCGCUCCAAAAAUUAAACAUUAUUCAGAAACUAAAGGAAAUCAAAUAUUUUCUUUCCAAGAAUACAAAAGAGAGGAGAAAGACUGAAGGUGUUCAUUCCACCUCUACUGUCUGUUGCACUUCAUCUUUUUUUUCGCUAUGUGGGCUGGGUGUUCUCAGUCAUUUUGGUAGUUUGUCAUCGUCAGCAUAUUUCAUCAAUUAGUGCAACACUAUGUUCCUAGAUGUUAUGUCCAAAUAAAGCUUGCUGUAUUGUCUAAACUAAAUAAAAACAAAAUACGUCAAAUCUAACCAAUCAAAAACCCUGCAGGCUGAAUAAGAAACCCCAACUAAUGUGUCUUGGCGGUUGUGAACAGAGCUCUAUGGUUUGGAAAUGACACAGGACAACCAUGCCGAGCUGUGAAGUUCGGGCCUCUGGGCAAAAAUGGAAGCAUAGACAUGACAGAAAAGGCUUUUCCCUGUUUGAUGCUCAGGUUGCGGGGCAGCCAGCGCAGACCGAUAGUCCGCUUCGUUCAGCACUGUGAGGACUUGAAAGGAAUUUUACGUUUGUCAGUGUCCUACAAUGACUAGCAUUAUCUUUCUGUUCUCAACUGCUUUCCUUGUUGGGUUUUCUUUCUGAAAUUUUCUCCAAAAAUACAAAAGAAUAACGAUCACUGAACAGGUUUUAAGCUUUUUUGCAGCAGUAUGGCUGCCAUUUGCUCCCAUUUUCUCAGAAAGUUUUUAAUUCUCUCCAUCCUCGAUGGGCUUUCCAGGUGGAGGGCCAUGGGUUCUCGUCCGACUUUUUUCAGUUUCUUGUGAACCCAACCAUAUUCCCUGACCAAAAAAAAAGUAAAAAAAUUUUAAACUUUGAACACAAACUUGCACAUGCCUGCAUUCACAUACAUGCCCAUGUAGCCAACAGGGAGCAUCAUGGUCAGUGCACAGGUAAUAAAUAUUCACAUUUAGAGACAUCAAAGCCGCCUGCAGUGUAAGCAUGAACAGUCGGGCUCUAUCUGGACCACAAGUAUACAAUUGAUGGUAAAACCAAGUUCUUAAACUGCUGAGGGAGAAAACACAGCUCCUGCUUAGUGCUUCCUGAUGAUGUCAAUAAGGCACCAGAGGAGGGUCCUUGAGGGUUCAAGGCAGGCACACUGACAAAGACUAGAGGCAGGGACUGGACUGGUCAGGGGGGGUCUGUCUGGAGGAGGACAUCCAUUCAUAACGGUCAGCUAAAGACCCACAAAGUGGUGCGUUUGGUCAUCCUUGAGCCUGUUAGGACCCUCCCCUUGAGGUAACACUGCUCCCCAUUGGCCAGUUCGCCACUUCAGGCAGUGGCUGCUCCGAUCACACUUCAGGUACACAGAUGGCGUGUUUUCCCACCAAAAAAAGGCAAACUAGCUCAGCGUUAUGUACUGUACCAGCUCUCUGCUUAAAGAGAAAACAGCCUCUUUGUCAUCCUGAAUUCACUGAUCUAUCCAUCCCCACAAAAAAAAAAAAACAAAACACAGAAAAAAAUAACCAAAGCAA